CAUUGUAUUUAUUUUCAAAGUACAAUGUAUGUGAAAUUGAACAAUCAUAGGGGAAGUUUAUUAGUUUGUUUAAGAAAGGUUUUUAGUUACUUUAGUGUUCUUUCAUGUGAUCCCUAAUGCUAAUACUUUUCCAAUAACUGAAGCAUUAGUUUUACAAUGAGUGUGUUUGCAAUAUUUAAGGAAGUUAUGGGAUUAGGAAAAACAUUGUUAUACUAUUCUCAUGAAGAUGCCUUCCUAAGUAUUUUUUUUAAGACUAUUCAUUGAGUACUUGCUUUAAGAGAACUUUGAAGUGAGAUAUACAGAAUCAUCUUGGAUUAUUUCAGUUAAACAUGUUAGUUGUUGGAUUGAGAGAAUCCCAGCCAGAUAAGGCAAAGGAAAGGCCUUUAGGACUCAGGCAGUGUGGAAUGCUUCUUUUCUACCCAACUUGCUGCUGUUAGGCUGCUGACUAAGGUCUGUGUGUGGCUGCUGGACGUGGUUUCAGCUUGUGGCCCCCAGGACCAGCCAGACCUGGGAAGUGUGGCAGUGGCUUCUGUCACCAGGCCAACUGGCUCUUUGUGAAUCAGCCAGUUUUAAUGGACAUGGAGGAAAUAUUCCAUGACAAAGAUACUCGGGAUCUCCCAGCGACCGGGCAACCAACAUGCAAAGGAAUCCCAUCCGGCUGUCUUUCCUCUUGUCUCCUGUGAGAGACCCCUGUCUGAGGGCAACCAGGUAUCUGUGGGCUGCCUGGCACGGGACUACCUGCCCAGUAAAGUGUCCUUCUCCUGGACCUACAAGAACAACAACUCUGAAGUAAACCAGGUUGCCAGAACCUUCCCAGAAAUACUGAUUGGGGGCAAAUAUGCGGCCACAUCCCAGUUGCUCCUGAGCUCCAAGGAUGUCAUCCAAGACACUGACAUUCGCCUAGUGUGCAAGGUUGUCCACGGCACAAACAACAAAGACACAGAUGUAAUCAUUGAAGGGCAAGCGCAGCAGGCCCCCAAUGUGACUGUGUUCGUCCCACCCCGAGAAUCCUUCUUUCAAACUCGUAAAUCCAAACUCAUCUGCCAGGCCACAGGCUUCAGCCCCAAGCAAAUCACAGUGUCCUGGCUGCGGGAUGGAAAGAUUAUAGAGACCGGCAUUGUCACAGACCAGGUAGUGGCUGAGAAAAAAGAUGCCUCGUCCCUCCCGACUUUCAGGGUUACCAGCACACUGACCAUCCGUGAGGAUGAUUGGCUGGGCCAGAAGAUGUUCACCUGCCGUGUGACUCACAAGACAGGCAUCAUUAAAAAGAAUGUGUCCUCCUCCGUGUGUAUCCCCACAACUCCAGCCACAGAUAUUCGUGUCUUCACCAUUCCUCCCUCGUUUUAUGAUGUCUUCCACACCAAGUCUGUCAAGCUGACCUGCCUGGUCACUGACCUGCUCCACCCUGGGGGACUGAACAUCUCCUGGUCCAUGAACGAUGGCAAGGAACUGACAACAAAAUUUGGAGACCCUAAGAGCCAUGACAAUGGCACUCUAAGUGCCAUUGGUGAGGCCAGCAUCUGUGUGGAAGAGUGGGACUCUGGGAAGGAGUUCACAUGCACUGUGAUCCACCAGGACCUGCCUUUCCCAGUGAAGAAGACCAUCUUCAAGUCCAAAGUUAAGAACAAGAAGCCCCCUGCUGUGUAUGUGCUGCCACCAGCCCGGGAGCAGCUGGUCCUGCAUGAGCAGGCCACCAUCUUCUGCCUAGUGAAGGGCUUUGCUCCUGCAGACGUCUUUGUGCAGUGGCUGAAGAGUGGGCAGCCCUUGUCCUCAGACAAGUAUGUGACCAGUUCUCCAAUGCCUGAGCCCCACACCCCAGGCCUCUACUAUGCCCACAGCUUGCUGACUGUGACUGAGGAAGACUGGAGCUCAGGGGAGACCUUCACCUGUGUCGUGGGCCAUGAGGGCCUGCCGCACAUGGUGACCGAGAGGACCGUGGACAAGUCCACCGAGGGGGAGGUGAAUGCUGAGGAGGAAGGCUUCGAUAACCUGUGGACCACUGCCUCUACCUUCAUCGUGCUCUUCCUGCUGAGCCUCUUCUACAGCACCACUGUCACCCUGUUCAAGGUGAAGUGACUGAGAUGUGAGAAGACAUGUGAGACCAGGAGCCCAACCACAGGGCCUGGCCUUGGGUGGCCUGCCCUGAAUGUUCCUCAACAUGUGCCUCUUCCCACAUCCUUCCAGCUCUGCUCUCUAGGAUCAGCCUUCUCUCCAUACCAGCACAAUAUCUCCACCAUGUUCACAGCACUGGGUCCUCAUGUGCUGCUUUGCUGUUUGCA